CAAAGAAUAUCAGUGGACAUACGAUUCACAGAAAUGUUUAUAUUACGAAUAAAUCAAUGCAGCUAUGUGCAAUGCUGUCCUACCAUAAGACAUCUCGGUAUCGUUUACAUUUGCUCCUGCUUGAACAAGGAAACAUACUGCAUCGUACGAUCCUGCUUCUGCAGCAAGAUGUAAUGCUCUCCAUCCAGCAUCAUUGGGUAAUUCAAUGUUAACUGUUUUCUCUGACAAUAAAGCAUCAACACAGGCGCCACCUUCUGGAACUAAAAUAUCCAUCGUGCAGUGGAGAAAAUCCAUGCUCAUCAAUUCGAUUUGGAUCAGCUCCAAGCAUGAGUAACGCUUUUGUAACUUCUGGUAAGUUUUGUAAGACAGCAUAAUGUAAUGGCGUCUAAAUCAAAUGUUUUGUAU